rnacentral:rRNA from 1 species
AAAAAAAAAACCCUUAGGUUCGGAAUAACUCCCCGAAAGGGGUGCUAAUACCGGAUAAUGUCUUCGGACCAAAGAGUUAUCGCCUUUGGAUUGGCCCUCGUUGGAUUAGCUAGUUGGUAGGGUAAAAGCCUACCAAGGCUACGUUCCAUAUCUGGUCUGAGAGGAUGAUCAGCCACACUGGGACUGAGACACGGCCCACACUACUAAGGGAGGCAGCGGUGGGGAAUAUUGGACAAUGCGCGAAAGCCUGAUCCAGCAAUGUUUCGUGAAUGAUACGGCCCCCACGGUUAUCAACACUCGUU